AGAACUUAGCAGAGAUGCUUUGGUGCCUUUCGGGGAACUCUGAGACAGGUGCUGCAUGGCUGUCGUCAGCUCGUGUUGUGAAAUGUUGGGUUAAGUCCCGCAACGAGCGCAACCCUUAUCCUUUGUUGCCAGCGGUCCGGCCGGGAACUCAAAGGAGACUGCCAGUGAUAAACUGGAGGAAGGUGGGGAUGACGUCAAGUCAUCAUGGCCCUUACGAGUAGGGCUACACACGUGCUACAAUGGCGCAUACAAAGAGAAGCGACCUCGCGAGAGCAAGCGGACCUCAUAAAGUGCGUCGUAGUCCGGAUUGGAGUCUGCAACUCGACUCCAUGAAGUCGGAAUCGCUAGUAAUCGUGGAUCAGAAUGCCACGGUGAAUACGUUCCCGGGCCUUGUACACACCGCCCGUCACACCAUGGGAGUGGGUUGCAAAAGAAGUAGGUAGCUUAACCUUCGGGAGGGCGCUUACCACUUUGUGAUUCAUGACUGGGGUGAAGUCGUAACAAGGUAAGCGUAGUGCU
rnacentral:rRNA from 1 species